AGUGGGAGGGGCGGCUUCACGUAACGUGGAGGGGCUUUCUGUUCAGCAAAGUGGGCAGCAGCUGUGAGUGGUGGGUCUCUCCACCGGGAAGUGCUCCAGCCACCACCAGGAAACCUCCAUCAUUACCUUCAAAGUGAACUUGGCAUUGAGGAGUGGAAGGGGAUGGUUGACAUUCGUCCAGCUAGGACCACCCAGUAGAGUGCACUUCCUUCUUUCCUCUUUAAGAGAAGAAUCCAUGGAAUACAAUGGGGUUGGAUGCUGCAUCUGGAAGAGUUAUAGAGCUUGCUGCAAGAUCGGGGAGAGGUGAAGCGGAGAGCGUCCGGAGUUGCAGUUGCAAAUCUUGAGGAAGAUAGAUUCAAGAAGGGUGUUGGGUGCUGCAUCCAGAGGAGUGAAGAGCUUUACUGCAAAUCUUUUGGAGAAAGAUCCAAGGAAGUCUUCAAGAGAUGUUGUCGCGGAAAUUCCCUUGGAGCAAGAGCUGGAGGUUGCUGAUGUUGCGGAGUAGUCUUCUUAGGAAUUUCCUGAUUGAACACUUGCAGUGUUUAAUCCUUUCAACUGUUCAAGUUUAAAUUUUUAGUUUCUUUUAUUUCUGGAUGACUGUAAUUUCAUAUUUAAUUACACGUCAUACUCCGACUGUUCUCUAUAUUUCGAUGUUAACGUCUUUAUUAUAUAAUAUUGGUUAUUAUAUAAUUGAGAUGUUACAAUAUUUAGAGAUUAAAUCCAGAUAUAUCCUAAAA